UAUUAAACCUUUUGAAAUAAAUCAAGCAUGAGUUGUAAAAGGGCAGUCUUGCCAAGUUUUGGAAUGCUGAGUUUCAUGGGAAGCAGGAGGUGGCAUGAGAUAAGUACAUUAAACCUCCACUAAUAGAUCAUAAGCUGGAGGUGUCAAGCUCUAAAUUAAUAUUGGGAUUUUCAUUCUAAGUAUGAGCUGUGUAAUAUUUAUGCUAGUAUAAUAAAAACUAAGCAAUUACUAGGUAAAGCAAGGCUAGGUAGUUGGGAAAAAAAACUAAGAAUAGUUUUUUUUUUACCCUGUUUGCUCCGUUCCAUAUCUUCGUUCUCUUUCUAUUAUCAAACUUCCAUUACUUCCUCUUGAGUUUCGGCUAAAGCAAAGGAAGAGAGCCAAGAAGUAAGCUUGUAAACUGGGGUGGGAAUGGAAUUCAAAUAGCUGUAGUAGCAAAAAGGGAGUGUAUAAGUUGAUCAUUAAAGUAAAUUUCAGCGAACUAUAAUUGGUGCAAGGUAACAACAAUGAUCAUAAUUAUUUUGUUUAGAAAAUUGUAAAGUUAUUGCUUAUGUUUCAUUAUUGUUAUACUUGGUUUGUGAUUGGGAUGUGAAUUAGUUUAAGGAGGUUUAUGCAGGACAUAUGGAGUGAUAAGGUUUGAAAGUUUUAGUUAAAUUCAUGUAUGAGAUUUGUUUUAAAAAGGGACGCACAUAAAGUGUUUGUAAAAUAGUCUCUUAGAGGCUGUCAUGCAUUAAAAAAAAUUUGAUUAAGGUUGUUAACAAAGAAACCUCCAUAUAUAUUAUAUGAAGUAAUUCAAAUGGUUUGGGUAAGUCCAAGUGGAUUUAGAAAUGAAUUUAUGAGAAUUGAAACAAAUUGGAAUUGGCUAAAAAACUGUAACUAUGUGGAGGGAAUCAUGGGAAUAAUAAUUGUGCCAAAUAGUUUGUUAAAUGAUCAAAUAUGUUGUUGACCAUUACGUGAAUUCCCUCCAUUUAUUGCUGCACUUUCUUGAGCUAAUUCAUCCCAUUAGUGGAAAUAUUACCUUUAUACUUGGUAUAAUAUCUUGGGCAGAUCACUUCUUUAUUAAGAAAAUUGCUUGUCAUCACCUAGUCGUUGGUGGUGGAGUAUGCUGAGUAUUACAGGUUAUGCUGAAGUUUAAAGUUAUGUAUGGUACUGCCCAUUUCUUUGCUUGAAAUAUGAUGCUACCCAUACUUAGUUAUUAUUUAUUAGCUUUGAAAACAAUUCAUGGGUGACACAUUCUACUAGAAAAUAUCAAGCAUAUUCCCACUAAAUGAUUAGAAUUGUAAGUAUGAUACCUUUCAUACUCACUAGAAGUGUGAAAAACCACCCAAUUCCCUAUUUGAAUAUUCUAAAUAGUUUGAUGGGUAGCUGAGAAAAUACAAGUGCAACCCUCAAAUGUAGGCCAUUAAUUCUCAAUUAUAACCUAACUAGCUUUUUACUCGAUGUGGAAUUGUUACAAACAGUUGUUGCCGUCUUUAAUUUUUAAAAGAAAUGAGUACUAAGUUAAUCUAGAAAUAUUAAUAAGUCUCAGAUGAGUUGAAAUUUCGAAUGGGAUUGAUGACCAUGUUAUAACCGACUUGUAAUAUGUAGGUUGUGCGGCAGAUGGAAAUGUAAGGGUAUUAACAAUCGACGAAUAUAAUUUGUCGUGGACGGUUGAUGAACAUAUAACGAUAAGUGCAAACCAAGGCAAGUCUUUCCGUUCUUAUUUGCUAUAUGAAUUUAACAUGUUUUUAUGAUUUAUCUAUUAUGCUGGUUGAAGUAUGAAAGUCAACUUAUGAUUAAAAUAGAUUGAGUUUUGGAACUCAGUCUUGACAUGAUAUAUGAUAUGCUAAAUCAUUUGUUCAAGAUUAUAAUGCAUGCCUACUUUAAGUAUGAACUGAGCAUGAGCAUAUGUGCUAUAUGAUGCAUGAAAACUGUUAGAUUUGCUGAGCUGUCGAGCUCAAUUUUGUAAAAAUAAAAUUUUUGCAGGUUAAUGACAUGUUGAGAUAUUACUUGCUAUUCAGAUGAUGAGGAUUGGACGAUAUAUAUGCGAAAUAACAAUACUUUCUUUAAUUUAGA
rnacentral:lncRNA from 1 species